rnacentral:rRNA from 1 species
UACGAAGGGGGCUAGCGUUGCUCGGAAUCACUGGGCGUAAAGCGCACGUAGGCGGGUUGUUAAGUCAGGGGUGAAAUCCUGGAGCUCAACUCCAGAACUGCCUUUGAUACUGAAGAUCUUGAGUCCGGGAGAGGUGAGUGGAACUGCGAGUGUAGAGGUGAAAUUCGUAGAUAUUCGCAAGAACACCAGUGGCGAAGGCGGCUCACUGGCCCGGUACUGACGCUGAGGCACGAAAGCGUGGGGAGCAAACAGG